rnacentral:rRNA from 1 species
GAUGAACGCUGGCGGCAGGCUUAACACAUGCAAGUCGAACGCAUCCUUCGGGGUGAGUGGCAGACGGGUGAGUAACGCGUGGGAACGUGCCCUUCAGUUCGGGAUAACCCAGGGAAACUUGGGCUAAUACCGGAUACGUGCGGGAGCAGAAAGAUUUAUCGCUGAAGGAUCGGCCCGCGUCUGAUUAGCUAGUUGGUGGGGUAAUGGCCCACCAAGGCGACGAUCAGUAGCUGGUCUGAGAGGAUGAUCAGCCACAUUGGGACUGAGACGCGGCCCAAACUCCUACGGGAGGCAGCAGUGGGGAAUAUUGGACAAUGGGCGCAAGCCUGAUCCAGCCAUGCCGCGUGGGUGAUGAAGGCCUUAGGGUUGUAAAGCUCUUUCGUCCGGGACGAUAAUGACGGUACCGGAAGAAGAAGCCCCGGCUAACUUCGUGCCAGCCGCCGCCGUAA